rnacentral:miRNA from 1 species
UCCACAUGCAUACAGACUCAUA